rnacentral:rRNA from 1 species
AACGAACGCUGGCGGCAUGCCUAACACAUGCAAGUCGAACGAGGCCUUCGGGUCUAGUGGCGCACGGUUGCGUAACGCGUGGGAACCUGCCCUUAGGUUCGGAAUAACUCCCCGAAAGGGGUGCUAAUACCGGAUAAUGUCUUCGGACCAAAGAUUUAUCGCCUUUGGAUGGGCCCGCGUUGGAUUAGCUAGUUGGUAGGGUAAAAGCCUACCAAGGCGACGAUCCAUAGCUGGUCUGAGAGGAUGAUCAGCCACACUGGGACUGAGACACGGCCCAGACUCCUACGGGAGGCAGCAGUGGGGAAUAUUGGACAAUGGGCGAAAGCCUGAUCCAGCAAUGCCGCGUGAGUGAUGAAGGCCUUAGGGUUGUAAAGCUCUUUUACCCGGGAUGAUAAUGACAGUACCGGGAGAAUAAGCUCCGGCUAACUCCGUG